GUCCACACUGUAAACGAUGAUAACUAACUGUUGGCUUUCGGGUCAGUGGUACAGAGAAAUCGUUAAGUUAUCCACCUGGGGAGUACGCCGGCAACGGUGAAACUCAAAGGAAUUGACGGGGUCCGCACAAGCGGUGGAGCAUGUGGUUUAAUUCGAUGAUACGCGAGGAACCUUACCUAGGCUAGAAUGUGAAGGAAUGUAUCAGAAAUGGUGCAGUCAGCAAUGACCUGAAACAAGGUGCUGCAUGGCUGUCGU
rnacentral:rRNA from 1 species